rnacentral:rRNA from 1 species
UACGGGGGGAGCAAGCGUUGUUCGGAUUUACUGGGUGUAAAGGGCGCGUAGGCGGCCACCGCAAGUCGACUGUGAAAUCUCCGGGCUUAACCCGGAAAGGUCAGCCGAUACUGCGGGGCUAGAGUGCAGAAGGGGCAACUGGAAUUCUCGGUGUAGCGGUGAAAUGCGCAGAUAUCGGAAGGAACAUCAGUGGCGAAAGCGGCUUCCUGGACCAGUACCGACGUUCAGGCACGAAAGCGUGGGGAGCAAACAGG